GACGAACGCUGGCGGCGUGCCUAAUACAUGCAAGUAGAACGCUGAAGGAGGAGCUUGCUUCUCUGGAUGAGUUGCGAACGGGUGAGUAACGCGUAGGUAACCUGCCUGGUAGCGGGGGAUAACUAUUGGAAACGAUAGCUAAUACCGCAUAAUAGUAGAUGUUGCAUGACAUUUGCCUAAAAGGUGCAAUUGCAUCACUACCAGAUGGACCUGCGUUGUAUUAGCUAGUUGGUGGGGUAACGGCUCACCAAGGCGACGAUACAUAGCCGACCUGAGAGGGGGAACGGCCACACUGGGACUGAGACACGGCCCAGACUCCUACGGGAGGCAGCAGUAGGGAAUCUUCGGCAAUGGACGGAAGUCUGACCGAGCAACGCCGCGUGAGUGAAGAAGGUUUUCGGAUCGUAAAGCUCUGUUGUAAGAGAAGAACGAGUGUGAGAGUGGAAAGUUCACACUGUGACGGUAUCUUACCAGAAAGGGACGGCUAACUACGUG
rnacentral:rRNA from 1 species